rnacentral:rRNA from 1 species
AUUGAACGCUGGCGGCAUGCUUUACACAUGCAAGUCGAACGGUAACAGGUUAAGCUGACGAGUGGCGAACGGGUGAGUAAUGCAUCGGAACGUGCCCGAUCGUGGGGGAUAACGCAGCGAAAGCUGCGCUAAUACCGCAUACGAUCUGAGGAUGAAAGCGGGGGACCGUAAGGCCUCGCGCGAUCGGAGCGGCCGAUGUCAGAUUAGGUAGUUGGUGGGGUAAAGGCUCACCAAGCCAACGAUCUGUAGCUGGUCUGAGAGGGCGACCAGCCACACUGGGACUGAGACACGGCCCAGACUCCUACGGGAGGCAGCAGUGGGGAAUUUUGGACAAUGGGCGAAAGCCUGAUCCAGCAAUGCCGCGUGCAGGAAGAAGGCCUUCGGGUUGUAAACUGCUUUUGUACGGAGCGAAAAGGCUCUCUCUAAUACAGGGGGCUCAUGACGGUACCGAAGAAUAAGCACCGGCUAACUACGUGCCAGCCGCCGCGGUAA